AUUGAACGCUGGCGGCAGGCCUAACACAUGCAAGUCGAGCGGAUGAAGGGAGCCUGCUCCUGGAUUCAGCGGCGGACGGGCGAGUAAUGCCUAGGAAUCUGCCUGGUAGUGGGGGAUAACGUCCGGAAACGGGCGCUAAUACCGCAUACGUCCUGAGGGAGAAAGUGGGGGAUCUUCGGACCUCACGCUAUCAGAUGAGCCUAGGUCGGAUUAGCUAGUUGGUGGGGUAAAGGCCUACCAAGGCGACGAUCCGUAACUGGUCUGAGAGGAUGAUCAGUCACACUGGAACUGGGACACGGUCCAGACUCCUACGGGAGGCAGCAGUGGGGAAUAUUGGACAAUGGGCGGAAGCCUGAUCCAGCCAUGCCGCGUGUGUGAAGAAGGUCUUCGGAUUGUAAAGCACUUUUAGUUGGGAAGAAGGGCAGUAAGUUAAUACCUUGCUGUUUUGACGUUACCAACAGAAUAAGCACCGGCUAACUUCGUG
rnacentral:rRNA from 1 species